rnacentral:rRNA from 1 species
UACGAAGGGGGCUAGCGUUGCUCGGAAUUACUGGGCGUAAAGGGCGCGUAGGCGGAUAGUUUAGUCAGAGGUGAAAGCCCAGGGCUCAACCUUGGAAUUGCCUUUGAUACUGGCUAUCUUGAGUACGGGAGAGGUGUGUGGAACUCCGAGUGUAGAGGUGAAAUUCGUAGAUAUUCGGAAGAACACCAGUGGCGAAGGCGGCUCACUGGUCCGGUACUGACGCUGAUGUGCGAAAGCGUGGGGAGCAAACAGG